ensembl:snRNA U1 U1 spliceosomal RNA
AUACUAGCCUAGCAGGGGAGAUACCAUGAUCAUGAAGGUGGCUUUCCCAGCGCGAGGCUUAUCCAUUGCACUCCGGAUGUGCUGACCCCUGAGAUUUCCCCAAAUGUGGGAAACCCGAUUGCAUAAUUUGUGGUAGUGGGGGGCUGUGUUUGCAUUGUCCCCUA